rnacentral:sRNA from 1 species
CGGCCGCCCCUCGGCCCCGGAGCCCCUCGGCGGCGCCACCAUGUACUCGGGAGCCGGCCCCGCACUUGCACCUCCUGCGCCGCCGCCCCCCAUCCAAGGAUAUGCCUUCAAGCCUCCACCUAGACCCGACUUUGGGACCUCCGGGAGAACAAUCAAAUUACAGGCCAAUUUCUUCGAAAUGGACAUCCCCAAAAUUGACAUCUAUCAUUAUGAAUUGGAUAUCAAGCCAGAGAAGUGCCCGAGGAGAGUUAACAGGGAAAUCGUGGAACACAUGGUCCAGCACUUUAAAACACAGAUCUUUGGGGAUCGGAAGCCCGUGUUUGACGGCAGGAAGAAUCUAUACACAGCCAUGCCCCUUCCGAUUGGGAGGGACAAGGUCCAGACACGGAUAUCGAGAACUUGCUGAAACCACCAAACUUUAA